rnacentral:tRNA from 1 species
GGGUAUAGCUCAGUGGUAGAGUGCUUGCCUAGCAGGCAUGAGGUCCUGGGUUCAGUCCCCAGUACUACCA